rnacentral:rRNA from 1 species
AUGAACGCUGGCGGCGUGCCUAAUACCUGCAAGUCGAGCGAACGGACGAGAAGCUUGCUUCUCUGAUGUUAGCGGCGGACGGGUGAGUAACACGUGGAUAACCUACCUAUAAGACUGGGAUAACUUCGGGAAACCGGAGCUAAUACCGGAUAAUAUUUUGAACCGCAUGGUUCAAAAGUGAAAGCGGGUCUUGCGGUCAUUUAUAGAUGGAUCUGAGCUGCAUUAGCUAGUUGGUAAGGUAACGGCUUACCAAGGCAACGAUGCAUAGCCGACCUGAGAGGGUGAUCGGCCACACUGGAACUGAGACACGGUCCAGGCUCCUACGGGAGGCAGCAGUAGGGAAUCUUCCGCAAUGGGCGAAAGCCUGACGGAGCAACGCCGCGUGAGUGAUGAAGGUCUUCGGAUCGUAAAACUCUGUUAUUAGGGAAGAACAUAUGUGUAAGUAACUGUGCACAUCUUGACGGUACCUAAUCAGAAAGCCACGGCUAACUACGUG